GUUUCGGGGCGAGGUGAAAUUCCUCACUGGUGGUGAUCCGGUUUUUCCGGCAAGUCCACGACCCGCUUUUUGCGGCUGAGCUGGUGUGAAUCCAGAACCAACGGUACAGUCCGGAUAAAAGAAG
rnacentral:ncRNA from 2 species